UCCCUGGUGGUCCAGUGGUUAAGACUCUGCACUUCCACUGCAGGGGGAAUGAGUUUGAUCUCUGGUCAGGGAA
rnacentral:tRNA from 1 species